rnacentral:lncRNA from 1 species
ACAAAUUAAUUGCACAUUUUUUAAAAUAAUGUUUCUAUUUUUGAAAUAUAUUAGGGAGACUUAUUUCUUGAUUGACCUAAAAUAUGAGAAUAAAACUGUAAUUAACUAAUCUCAUAACACAACUCAAGCCCUUUUCCAUUUCCAUUUUCUAGCCGCGGGUUGAAGAGAAGAACAAGGAAUUGAAGAAAGGAAGACAAGCGAGCUUUAUAAGAAGAAAUCUAGGGUUCAUCACCUUCAUAUCAAGAGAUUCAAAGGUAACAUAGAAUCUCUUCUUACAAUGUGUAUUGUUUUUUGUGUUUGAUGUUGCAUUGCAUGCACAUAAAGUGUUUGAUGUUAUGCUUGAAUAAGAAUAUAUCAUUACGGACGGUUUCCUACCGUACUUUCUAGUCGUAAUUGCCCUGUUUUCUUCUAAGAAAUUUUUUUUUUCUCUAAUCAAAACAACAUUAUCGGUAGCUUCAACAGUUAAAAUCAAAAUAGCCUUCACCCAGCAAGAGUAGUAAACCAUGUCAAUCUUUUCUUACUAUUUUUGAUAAGUUUAUUCUACCUCAUCAACAUAGACAACUCUAUGUGAAUGGAGUCAGUGUUUACUCGUUAAUCCAUAGUAUAUGAUAUAUAUACUUAAUACUUAUUAUGGUUAUGUGUAUGUGUGUGAAAGUAAUGUAGUGAAGUGAGGUAUGUUCAAAAUUCACCUAGCUAAGUGAAUUCUCAUGAUAGUGAGUAUGACAUGGUUGGUAGGUAGGACACUACUUGCUGGACAAUACGUUCAAUAUUACCCUAUGGGUAUGGCGUGGUAAGUAGGGGUACUACCUACAGAAUUAUGUCCAAUAUUACUCAAGAAUGUUCACCAACAUGACAUGGUGAUGGGGAAAUCCGUCAUGGUCUUUAAGACAUUAUUGUCGGCAUGGUAAUGAGUAUGGUAAUAGAGAGGAUUUUUCCAUGCUUAGCGACAUAACUGAAAACAUCAAACUAUCUUAUAUAAAUUCUAUGUUACCGAGUUUCAUACUCACUAUGUUUUUGGGGCGAUGUUUUCAGGUAUCCAUGUAACUCGUCAGCCAUUGGAGGACUGAGGAGUACAAAAGUAACUCGUCAUCCGUUCAAUAUUGAGUCUGAACCGGAUCACAUCAGAGUCUAGAAUUUUAGGAUAUUGUUGUUUUGUGGCCCUAAGAAAAAAUAAAUUAUGUGUAGGCAUUCUCUGAAGUUCAUUUCAAGAUUGUAAAGCAACUUUUUCUUCAAAGUUAUUUAAGAUUUCAAAGUUAUUCUUGUUUCAUCUGCACUAAGAAAAGUUAAUUCUUUAAAUUUUAUU